rnacentral:rRNA from 1 species
AACGCGAAGAACCUUACCUGGGCUCGAAGCACAGUGGACCGGGGUAGAAAUAUCCCUUUUCGCAAGAACUGCUGUGGAGGUGCUGCAUGGCUGUCGUCAGCUCGUGUCGUGAGAUGUUGGGUUAAGUCCCGCAACGAGCGCAACCCUUAUCGUUAGUUGCCAGCGAGUCAAGUCGGGCACUCUAGCGAAACCGCCUCGGAUAACGGGGAGGAAGGUGGGGAUGACGUCAAGUCCUCAUGGCCUUUAUGUCCAGGGCUACACACGUGCUACAAUGGCCGGUACAAACCGUCGCAAACUCGCGAGAGGGAGCUAAUCGGAGAAAGCCGGCCUCAGUUCGGAUUGGAGUCUGCAACUCGACUCCAUGAAGCUGGAAUCGCUAGUAAUCGCGGAUCAGCACGCCGCGGUGAAUACGUUCCCGGGCCUUGUA